GACCUGAUGGUGUAGUGGUAACAUGCCUGCUGAAAUUACACUGUAAUCCCUGAUCAGUAAGCAGGAGGCCCCGGUUUGAACCCGGGUCAGGUCA